rnacentral:rRNA from 1 species
GACGAACCGUACGAACGUUAUUCGGAAUCACUGGGCUUAAAGGGUGCGUAGGCGGCGCGGAAAGUUGGGUGUGAAAUCCCUCGGCUUAACCGAGGAACUGCGCUCAAAACUACCGUGCUCGAGGGAGACAGAGGUGAGCGGAACUUAGGGUGGAGCGGUGAAAUGCGUUGAUAUCCUAAGGAACACCGGUGGCGAAAGCGGCUCACUGGGUCUCUUCUGACGCUGAGGCAAGAAAGCUAGGGGAGCGAACGGG